UACGGAGGGGACUAGCGUUAAUCGGAAUUACUGGGCGUAAAGCGCACGUAGGUGGCGACGUAAGUCGGGUGUGAAAGCCCCGGGCUCAACCUGGGAAUUGCAUUCGAGACUGCAUUGCUGGAGUACGGAAGAGGAAGGCGGAAUUCCCGGUGUAGCGGUGAAAUGCGUAGAUAUCGGGAGGAACAUCAGUGGCGAAGGCGGCCUUCUGGUCCAGUACUGACACUCAAGUGCGAAAGCGUGGGGAGCAAACAGG
rnacentral:rRNA from 1 species